ACCUAUAGCCACAUCACUCUGAGAGUUCCCAGUCUCAUCUGAUCUUGGAAGCUAAGUAGGGUUAGUGCUUUGAUGAGAGAAGUGAGACAAAUCUGAGUUUCAAACAAGUUGUGGACA
rnacentral:rRNA from 1 species